ACGCCGCUGCCUGAAUCCGCAGCACCUGUGCUCGUGCCGCCGACGGGCGGGGGUGACUCCUUGGUGUGGCAGCUGACCCCGGGCUCGGAGGUGCAGGUCACAGUGCAUUGAGGACGCGGUCGUCAUGUCGUCAUGCCCGGAACACUUGUGGAUACACUUGAAUAAGAAGAGAAAGAGCCUGUAUCCAAGGCUAUCACAGAGGCAGCUAAGACUGCCAAGCAGCUGACCUCUGAAGUACAGGCUCUGCUGACAAUUUGAAACAUAAACACAGAUUUGCAUCUUGAUUGAAGCAAAGGCAUCUGUCUUUUCCCAGAUAGCAAGAAGUUUGGUUGCUGUGGCAACAUAUUGACUAAGGAAUUUAAAAAUAAGGGUGGCUCAUUUCCAAAUUGUUUUUCCACCUUUUCUUCAUGAAAAAGGCACACACUGGUAAGAAACUUCCACUGGAGUUUUUAUAACCAAUAAGCCUAUUGUUUGUUGAAAGAUUAAAUCCCCAAACUUGCAUGUUAAGUAAGUGAGAAUGAGUACAUUUGGCUUUCAUAUACUUUUAAAUCAUAAAACAUGAAACUACCUCAUUUUAAACAAGUUUUUUCUCCCUCCCUCCCUUUUUCCUUCCUUUCUUUCUUCCUUCCUCUCUUUUUCCCUCCAUCCCCUCCUCCCUCUCUCUAUUCCUCCAUUCCUCCCUCUCUCUGUCUCCCUCAGUCCCUCUCUCCCUUUCAUCCUGUCUCCCUCCUUUACUCUUUCCCUCUCUCCCUCUCUUCUUCCCUCUCUAUUUUUGAAAUUGUGAUGCUGAGGACCUGGGUGAGUACAGAAGGAGGAGGGGAAAAGUCAGUGAAAGAAACUCUUCAAAGGCCUUUACUGAGGCAGACCCUGGUUGCUAGGGCUUGAAAAGAUUGUUAUUUGUAGCUAAGACAAAGUUAUUCUCAAAUGCACUCAGCCUUAGAAGUAAACAGGUUCUAAAUUUUUUAAGAGAAGUGUGGAUUGAAUCUUCUGACACAUAAAAAUAAUCUUUUGACACUUUGGGUUGCACAUAUAUUUGUGCAUUAAAUUCCAUAAAAUGCUAGGGGAAAGAGAAGGGAGGUAAUUUCUUUAAAUUGAGGACAUAUACCUCCAAUAACUCACAUAUUUAAAAACAUCUGAAUUUUUACAGUAUUUCAAAAAUUUUGUUUUCUUGUGUCUUGUAGUAAUAUAGAAUUCAUCAAAAACAAAUCAGCAUGAUAGCAAAAUAAAUGUGUGAUUCUACUUUAGUUUUAUUUAUAUUUCUAAAUAUGGAGCCUAGAAAUUUGUUUACUUUUCAUUUGUUUCACAAAUUUUUAUAAAAUAAAGGAUAUUUGCUAGAUGAAUCAGACACUUAAACUUUUUGAUACAGAAAUUAUUUAAACUAGUUAUACAAUUAUUAAGAAUUUUGCUAAAGGACUGAGCAGGGAUAAUUUACACAAAACAAGUAAUUUUAACAUCACAAUAAAUUCAUUAAGCAAAGGAAACAAAAAUGAUGUUAUCUUUACUAACUGUUAGCUAUAUGAUUUCAGUUAAAUAUUUAAUUUUCAAAGCUAUUUGUUGGCCUAGAAUAAUAUAAUUAAAUAAUUAUUUUUGGGAACCUUUUUAUUUAAAAACCAGCAUUUUGACGUAAUGAUUAAAUGUUAACCCAGUGAAAACAUAAUUUGAAUCUUUCUCUUUUUCACCUUUCUGGUAAGGAUAUAGGUUGUCAUAGUGCAAUAAAGAAUUUGUGGGGCCAGGCUUGGUGGCUCAUGUCUGUAAUCCCAGCACUUUGGGAGGCCGAGGCGGGUGGGAUCACAAGGUCAAGAGAUCAAGACCAUCCUGGUCAACAUGGUGAAACCCCAUCUCUACUAAAAAUACAAAAAAUUAGCUGGGCAUGGGGGUGCGUGCCUGUAAUCCCAGCUACUCAGGAGGCUGAGGCAGGAGAAUUGCCUGAACCCAGGAGGUGGAAAUUGCGGUGAGCCGAGAUCACACCAUUGCACUCCAGCCUGGGUAACAAGAAUGAAACUCCGGCUCAAAAAAAAAAAUGAAUGUGUGGUACCUGGUUAGGGGUUUUUAGGGUAGAGAAGAUGGAAAUAUAUUCUUCCCUAGUGCAUGAGAGUUGUGGAACACUAAACUCACAAGCUUAAUCUCCUCAGUCUCAAAACUAUAAUUUUUUCCAGGAAGCCCCUUGUGAGUACAAAUGAUAACAAAAAAGUUUUCUCCAGGCAAAACUUAAUGGAUAUAACAAGAAGAUGCUUGGAUAAAACACUAAUUCCUAUCAAAGUUUCUACUAUGAAGGAGUUAAGUACAAAUUCUUUAGGAGCAGAAAUCCCUGGUUAUUGAAGGUACAGAGACUAUUUAUAAUGAUUUUCGGAAGGUAGAAACAGAAUUGACCCAUUUAUCUCUGGUUUUGCUUUCCUGUCUCUCAUUACCUAUUGAGGCCUUUCCUCCUUAUGUUCUACCUCAUAGGCCCAGUGUCUCAGUUCCUUUCUAGAGAUCAAUGACACAGAGGAUCUAGCUUUAUUUCUUUCAUAUUCACCUCAUGAUAUGAAUUUCUUCUUAAUGAUUUUGUUUUUCUUGAUUCUUUAUGUUAUUAGAUCAGGGACCAAGCUGGUAAAGUGAAAGAUACCAGGGAGAUAAGUCAAGAAAACUCACCCACUGAAAUAUAUAGGAGGAAAUGUGUCUCUACUAACUAGAGGUUCAGAAGGUCAAAGCCAUUUAAAAAGUGCUGAAUUCAUUCUGUUAGGAAAAUUUUCAAAAAUUAUAAUGGAGGAAAACAACAAAACAGUAUCUUAAAGGACCUAAACUCUGGUAGCAUUGGCAUUGGCCAUUUUACCAGCCAAUCAGCCUCAGAGCAUGAUGGAAACAUUGGUUGGAGGGAUACAUUGCUGUUUUGAAGACUUCAGGAGACACCAGAGAAGACAUCAUCAUUUCCCCUCUCCAUCCUUGAAGGAUAGAAGGGAAUGGUAAUUGAUCAGGACUUUAUCUGAGUAAUGUCAAUUCCAAAUAAUUCUGGCAUUUAAAAAUUUCCAAGAUGUUUUUAAUAUUUCAAGAAGCUUCAUGUAGAAAGAAAUUCUUACCUAUUUUUAAGUAAAAUAGACAUACCUAGAGUAGAAAAAAGAAAGACAUACACCUGACAACUGACAAAAUAAAAUCAGUGAAUCUAUGAGUAAAUUAUAUCACAGUAAGAUUACUUUCAAAUCAAGUCACAUCCUCAUUUUUAGUGCUCUAUUAUAUUUAUCUUUAUUUGCAAAGCUUUUAAAAUGGCACUAUUUUUAAUUGAAUUUUUAUGUACAAAUCUUGUAUUUUAAACAAAGGAGAGAAUACUUUCACAAAUAACUUCUUGCAGAUGUCAUUUGAUGAAGGAGGAUUGCUCACAACACUAAAAAUAAUAUUGAAAAUAAAGUUUCAAGUUUUGGGGAGAUGCCAACACAUAUCUCCCAUCUAGAGGUUAUGUUGGUUAAUACAUAUUUGUGAUUUCAUCCACAUUUUAGAUAAUCAUCUGUUUUUUUAAUUACUGCUGUUUUUAUAUGUCUCUAAUGUACAUGAGCCUUUUGUUUUUUUAUUAUACCCCAAGUUCUGGGGUACAUGUGCGGAGUGUGCAGGUUUGUUACAUAUGUAUGCAUGUGCUAUGAUGGUUUGCUGCAUCCAUCAACCCAUCAUCUACAUUAGGUAUUUCUCCUAAUGUUACACCUCCCCUAUUCCCCCACCCCUAAAAGGCCCUGGUGUGUGCUGUUCCCCUCCCUGUGUCCAUGUGUUCUCAUUGUUCAACUCCCACUUAUGAGUGAGAACAUGCGGUGUUUUUUUUUCUCUUCUUUUGUUAGUUCGGUGAGAUGAUGGUUUCCACUUUCAUCCACGUUUCUGCAAAGGACAUGAGCUUAUUCUUUUUUGUGGCUGCAUAGUAUUCCAUGGUGUAUAUGUGCCACAUUUUCUUUAUCCACUCUAUCACUGAGGGACAUUUGAGUUGGUUCCAAGUCUUUGCUAUUGUGAGUAGUGCUGCAAUAAACAUACGUAUGCAUGUGUUCUUAUAGUUGGAUGAGUUAUAUUUCUUUGGAUAUAUACCCAGUAAUAAGAUUGCUGGGUCAAAUGAUAUGUCUGGUUCUAGAUCCUUGAGGAAUUACCACACUGUCUUCCACAAUGGUUGAAUAAUUUACACUCCCACCAACAGUAUAAAAGCAUUCCUAUUUCUUCACAUCCUCUCCAGCAUCUGUUGUUUCCUAACUUUUUAAUGGUUGCCAUUCUAACUUGUGUGACAUGGUAAUUGUGAUGUUAGGGUGUUGAUCUUAGAUCCUUCCAGCUUUCUUGUGUGGGCCUUUAGUGCACAAAUUUCCCUCUAGACACUGCUUUAAUGUGUCCCAGAGAUCCUGGUAUGUUGUUUCUUUGUUCUCAUUGUUUUCAAAGAAUUUUUUAUUUCCGCCUUAAUUUUGUUAUUUACCCAGUAGUCAUUCAGAAGUAGAUUGUUCAGUUUCCAUGUGGUUGUAUGGUUUUGAGUGACUUUCUUUAUUUUUCUCUUUUUUUGAGACGGAGUUUCGCUCUUAUUACCCAGGCUGGAGUGCAAUGGCGAGACCUUGGCUCAUCGCAACCUCCGCCCCCUGGGUUCAGGCAAUUCUCCUGCCUCGGCCUCCUGAGUAGCUGGGAUUACAGGCAUGCGCCACCAUGCCCAGCUAAUUUUUUGUAUUUUUAGUAGAGUUGGGGUAUCACCAUGUUGACCAGGAUGGUCUCGAUCUUCUGACCUCGUGAUCCACCUGCCUCGGCCUCCCAAAGUGCUGGGAUUACAGGCUUGAGCCACCACGCCCGGCACUUGAGUGACUUUCUUAAUCCUGAGUUCUAAUUUGAUUUCACUGUGGUAUGAAAGACUGUUUCUUAUGAUUUCCAUUCUUUUGCAUUUGCUAAGGAGUGUUUUGCUUACAAUUAUGUAGUCAAUUUUAGAAUAAGUGCGAUGUGGUGCUGAGAAGAAUGUCUAUUCUGUUGAUUUGGGGUGAAGAGUUCUGUAGAUGUCUGUUAGAUCCUCUUUGUCCAUAGCUGAGUUUAAGUCCUGAGUAUGUGUGUUAAUUUUCUGUCUUGUUGAUAUGUCUAAUAUUGAGAGUGGGGUGUUGAAUUCUGCCACUAUUAUCAUAUGGGAGUCUAAGUCUCUUUGUAGGUGUCAAAGAACUUGCUUUAUAAAUCUGUUUGCCCCUCAGUACCACAUCAAAUUUAUUCUAAAAUUGACCACAUAAUUGGAAGUAAAACACCCCUGAGCAAAUGCAAAAGAAUGGAAAUCAUAACAGUUUCUCAGACCACAGUGCAAUCAAAUUAGAAGUCAGCAUUAAGAAACUCACUCAGAACUGCAGAGCUACAUGAAAACUGAACUACCUGCUCUUGAUUGACUACUGGGUAAAUAAUGAAAUUAAGGCAGAAAUAAAUACGUUAUUUGAAACCAAUGAGAACAAAGACACAAGGUACCAGAAUUUCUGUGACACUGCGAAGGCAGUGUUUAGAGGGAAAUUUAUAGCACUAAUUGCUCACAUGAGAAAGUGGGAAAGAUCUAAAAUCAACACUCUUAUAUCACAAUUAAAAGAACUACAGAAAUAAGAGCACACAAAUUCAAAAGAUAGCAGAAGAUAAGAAAUAAGGAAUAUCAGGGCAGAACUGAAGGAGAUAGAGAUAUAAUAAAACCCUUCAAAAAAAUCAAUGAAUCCAGGAGCUAGUUUUUUGAAAACAAUAACAAAAUAUAUAGACCACUUGCCAGACUAAAAAGGAAGAAAAUGGAAAAUAAUCAAAUAGAUACAAUAAAAAAUGAUAAAGGGGAUAUUUACCAUUGACCCCAAAGAAAUAUAGACUACCAUCAGAGAAUACUAUAAAUGCCUUCAUGCAAAUAAACUAGAAAAUCUAGAAAAUGGAUAAAUUCCUGUAUACAUAAACCCCCUCCCAAAGACUAAACCACGAAGAAGUCAAAUCCCUGAAUAGACCAAUAAGAAAUUCUGAAAUUGAGAUAAUUAAUAGCCUACCUACCAAAAAAAAAACCAAAAGCAAAAACAAAAAAAAACCCAGGACGUGACAGAUUCACAGGCAAGGUUUACCAGAGGUACAAACAGGAGCUGGUCCCAUUCUUUCUGAAGCUAUUCCAAAGAACAGAAAUAGAGGGAAUCUUGCCUAAGUCAUUUUAUGAGACUAGCAUCAUCCUGAUACCAAAACCUGGCAGAGACACAACAAAAAAAAAAAAAAAAAAAAAGAAAAUUUUAGGCCAAUAUCCCUGAUUAAUAUAGAUGAAAAAAAAUCUCAAUAAACAAACCAAAUCCAGUGGCACAUUAAAAAGCUUAUCCACCACGAUUAAGUUGGCUUCAUUCCUGGGAUGUAAGGCUGGGUCAACAUAUGCAAAUCAAUAAACAUAAUCCAUGACAUAAACAGAAGCAAAGAGAAAAACCACACGAUUAUCUCAAUAGAUGCAGAAUAGGCCUUCGAUAAAAUUCAACACUGCUUCAUGGUAAAAACAAUAAACUAGGUAUUGAUGGAACAUAUCUCAAAAUAAUAAGAGCUAUUUAUGACAAACCCACAGCCAAUAUCAUAUGGAAUGGACAAAAGCUGGAAGCAUUCCCUUUGAAAACUAGCACAAGACAAGGAUGCCCUUUCUCACCACUCCUAUUCAACAUAGCAUUGAACGUUCUGGCCAGGGCAAUCAGGCAAGCGAAAGAAAGAAAGCGAAUUCAAAUAGCAAGAGAGGAAGUCAGAUUAUCUCUGUUUGCAGAUGACAUGAUUGUAUACUUAGCAAAUUCCAUCCUCUCUGCCCCAAAACUCCUUAAGCUGAUAAGCAACUUCAGCAAAUUCUCAGGAUACAAAAUCAAUGUGCAAAAAUCACCAGCUUUCCUAUACACCAAUAAUAGACAAACAGAGAGCCAAAUCAUGAGCUAACUCCCACUCACAAUUGCUACCAAGAGAAUAAAAAGAUCUAGGAAUACAACUUAUAAGGGAUGUGAAGGAUAUUUUCAGGGAGAUCUACAAACCACUCCUCAAGGAAAUAAGAGAGGACUCUAAUAAAGAGAAAAACUUUCCAUGCUCGUGUAUAGGAAGAAUCAAUAUCAUGAAAAUGGCCAUACUGCCCAAAGUAAUUUAUAGAUUCAAUGCUAUUUCCAUCAAGCUACCAUUGUCUUUCUUCAUAGAAUUAGAAAAAACUACCUUAAAUUUUAUAUGGAACCAAAAAAGAGCCUGUAUAGCCAAGAUAAUCCUAAGCAAAAGAACGAAGCUGGAGGCAUCAUGCUACCUGACUUCAAACUAUACUGCAAGGCUACAGUAACAAAAACAGCAUGAGAUUGGUACCAAAACAGAUAUACAGAGCAAUGGAACAGAACAGAUGUCUCAGAAAUAAUACCCCACAUCUACAGCCAUCUGAUCUUCAACAAACCUGACAAAAACAAGCAGUGGGGAAAGGAUUCCCUAUUUAAUAAAUGGUAUUAGGAAAACUGGCUAACCAUAUGCAGAAAACUGAAACUGGAUCCCUUCCUUAGACUUUAUACAAAAUUAACAUGGAUUAAAGAUUUAAAUGUAAGACCUAAAACCAUAAAAAAACUAAAAGAAAACCUAGGCAAUACCAUUCAGGACAUAGGCAUGGGGAAAGAUUUCAUGAUUAAAAUACCAAAAGCAGUUGCAACAAAAGCCAAAAUUGACAAGUGAGAUUUAAUUAAACUAAAGAGCUUACACAUAGCAAAAGAAACUAUCAUCAGAGUGAACAGGCAACCAACAGAAUGGGAGAAAUCUUUGCAAUCUCUCUAUCUGACAAAGGGCUAAUAUCCAGAAUCUACAAGGAACUUAAACAAAUUUACAAGAAAAGAAACAAACAUCUUCAUCAAAAAGUAGGUAAAAGAUAUGCACACUUUAAAAAAAAAGACAUUUAUGUAACCAAAAAACAUGAAGAAAAUCUCGUCAUCACCAGUCAUUAAAGAAAUGCAAAUCAAAACCAUAAGGAGAUACCAUCUCAUGCCAGUUAAAAUAUUGAUCAUUAAAAAGUCAGGAAACAACAGAUGCUGGAGAGGAUGUGAAGAAAUAGGAACACUUUUGGUAAAUUAGUUCAACCAUUGUGGAAGACAGUGUGGUGAUUCCUCAAGGAUCUAGAACCAGAAAUACCAUUUGACCCAGCAAUACCAUUACUGGGUAUAUUCACAAAGGAUUAGAAAUCAUUCUGCUGUAAAGACACAUGCACAUGUAUGUUUAUUCCAGCACUCUUCACAUUAGCAAAGACUUGGAACUAACCUAAAUAACCAUCAGUGAUAGACUGGAUAAAGAAAAUAUGGCACAUAUACAACAUGGAAUACUAUGCAGCCAUAAAAAGAAUUAGUUCAUGUUCAUUACAGGGACAUGAAUGGAGCUGGAAACCAUCAUUCUCAGCAAACUAACACAGGAACAGAAAACCAAACACUGCAUGUUCUCACUCAUAAGUCGAAGUUGAACAAUGGGGACAUAUGGGCAGGGGAGUGGGUAGGAACAUCACACACUGGGCCUGUUGAAGGGGCAACGAAAGGGAUAGCAUUGGGAGAAAUACAUAAUGGAGAUGACAGGUUGAUGGGUAUAGCAAACUACCAUGGCACAUGUGUAUGUAUAUAACAAACCUGCAUGUUCUGCAAAUGUAUUUCAGAACUUAAAAGUAUAAUAAAAGUAAAAAAUAAAAUAAGCCCGUCUACUGCUUUUUCUCACAAUAAUGCUAAUAAUAUACAGCAAAUAUCUUAGUUUUUGUGUUUAAGCAGCACAGCCUGAGGCAAGUAUAGAGGUAAAGAUUUGAUGUAUUUCGAAGAUGCAAUUCAAGAGCAAUGAAGGGAAGCAAGGAAAGAUGAAAAAGAAUGGAUUUCAUGGCAUUACUGUGCUGGCAACUGCUCCCCAGUCUUCUGCAGAGGCGUAGAAAGUCCCUCAACAGACCUGUGGUAUGCAGGAUUUCACUGAAGGUUAAAGAACAGUAGUUAACAGAAGAGAAAAAUGAGGAGGGAUUUAUCUGCUUUACUGUCUCUCAUAUGAAGUUUCCUAUUGUUCCAUGCUCACCCCAUAGGGACAAACUCCCCUUCACUUUGGAGGCUGCAUAGUCCACUCACAUGGAGGCUACUUGUGAAGCCAGAUAACACACAGAGAAAUGCUAAAUUUCUUGGAGUCUGGAACCAAAGGAGGCAUUUGCCAGUGCUGAGAUGCUAAUUUAUGGGGAGAAAAGCGAUAGUCAACAGCACCUGAGAAAGUAAGAAAACCCAAAAGAAUUUUGUUUUAUAUGUUUGAUUUCAGUACAUACAGAGUUUAGCUUAUAGACUUGUGAAUGAUUACCUAAUAUUAGCAAAUCUCUCAGAGUAAAUCAUUUCAGGAACAAAUUAGAAUAAAUCAAUGCAUCUUCAUCCCUUGAAACAAAAAAGAAUUUGGAAAAACUUGAUAGCCUUUCUGCAUUUUAAACAAAAGUCCACAUAAAGAAAAAUAGAAAGUAUAUAAAUAUUAUGUAAGACUCCUACAAACCAAUAGUAAUUGGCCUAAUAAAUACUAAUGGUGUAAAGCAAGCUGUACAAAUUGAAUUGUUUUUGAAGUUAUAUCUAACUUAGUAAUACAAGAAAAUGAAGUAAUAUAAAUCAGAUAUAAAGAUUAUUUUUAAUUUUCUAUAUUGUUACAUCCCUAGAAAAAUCUCUUAGAAAUAUUUUUAAGUUUAUCCCUAUGUUUACAGGGAGAAAAACUACUAAUUAUAUUUAAAAUUUAUAAGACAUUUACAUAUUAUAGCAGAAUACAUAAGAAAUAUGUACAGAUCAAUAACUUUCCUCUACGGUAGGAAUAAUCAGUUAGAAAUAAAAAAGAAAACAUAAAAUUUAGACCACUACAUUAAGGGCUAAUAGUUUAUAUAGAGUGAGACGCCCUUCAGUAUGUUCAAGGCAUGGUGACAAAAGUAACUAUAGUAAAAAAAAAUAACAUUUUUCACCAGUCCUGCUAAGGUAAAGAAUUGUUGCAUUUAUUUAGAUUUUGUUUACAGUGUUAUGCCUAAACAACUUCUUCAUGAGAACAAAUGUAUAUAUUGAACCUUUAUGGAUUCUUUUUUGUAGCAUUAAGUGUAUUAACAUCAUUUCAAACAGCCGAUCACAGGUAUAGUGCUUUUUGUUGACCUAUACUAAAACAUGAAUACUGCAAAGCAAUCCUAGGGUAGGAUGGGGGAAUGAAGUAGAGAAUGCCUUCACUGCUCUCUGUGAAAAAUGAGUCUUCAACGUGAUAUGUUUUGCUAAUUUUUAAAAUUUAUAGGCCAGAAGAACAGCUUGGAUAUUUUCAUUAUAUUUAUUAUUGACUAAGUAGGUAUUGAAAUAGGAUAGUAGCCAUAAUUACCAAUUAAUUGAUAAAGCCAAUAAAUUAAUACUGAUAAAAAUAGACUUUUACUUCUUUUAGAGUUUGUUUAGGCAUUUUUAAUUUCCACUUAUACCCUCUCAAAUAUCUGAAUGUUUUAACAUUCUUAAAUACGGAUCCAGUAGAAAACCAGAAUCCUGGAUUAUUGAGCAUAGAAAAAAAGAGUAUUAAGGAAUGAAAAAAAUUAAGAGCACAUAUUAAAAGGUUCACAGCAUAAUCCCUAGAAGUGUUUAAUUUUGAGCACAACUAUACUCCGAAGACCCCAGGAAAUGAUAUGCUUUUUCCCACCAGCAAUCCAGUCACUUGAGUAUUUCUCUCACACCUCCAUUGGAAAAAAGAAAGAGAAAAAGAAGACAGGGCAUGCAACUUAAUAUUGUCUUUAGCUAAACCACACAAGGUAGUUUAUAUUUUGCAUAGAAAACCCAAAUAAUAAGUUAAUUUUAUUUUUACAAAAUUAAUUUAUUUGUACUACUAAUAAAAAUAAUUAUUGAUCAUUUAUGCCAGUCACCAUGCUAAACACUUAAACAAAAUUGUUUUAUUUUAACUCUCCCAGUGACCCAAGAUGUUACUGUUUCAUUUUACAGAUGAGAAUAGUGGGGCUUAUUGAAGUUGGCUAAGUGUAUACAUAGUUAGGAAGUGGUGGAAAUACGAUUCAAGUUUAGAUUUAACUCCAAAGUUUUAAGUUCUAAACUACAAUGCAAUGGCUGCCUUUUGCAUGGAAGACUUUUUACUCUAGAGAAUUUAAGUCAACACAUUUGUUUACACAGUCAAAGAUUAAAAUUACUGAUAAAUUGAAAUUUUUAAUAUUGAUGGAAAUUCACUGUAUUGAUAAACCUGCCAGAAAUAAUUUAACAAACUGAGUGACAUGUAUUAGCUUCUAAAAUUGGAGAGAGGUCCAUUCUUUAUAAGAUCUUAUUUUUAAAAAAGAAAAAAAUCACAAUUUUAGGGCAAUACUAUUAGUGAUGGUUAAUUAAUAAUAAAACUAAAUUCUCAAUUACAUAGAAAUAGUCUGUCCAACUUAAUAAAAAAAUUACUGAUAUAUUUUUCUACUGAUAGUGUUUAAAAAAAAAGCAGCCCAUUUCUUCAAUGUCAUUUAAAUUGCAUUUUUAUGAUAACUUUGAAGCGAAAGUGGAGCUCAUGUAUUAAUAUUUGACCCUAUGUAAAUUAAACUAUAAAUUAAGUAAAUAAAUUAUUGAAUUUUCACCAUAGUUAUAUUUGUUAUGAAAGAAAAAUAAUAAUGGAUAACUUUUUAAAAAACCAGUGUUCUUGAUAUUUUGUUACCUCUUGGACACUACCAUUCUCAGGAGAGCAUUUGUCUUCUUGCACACUAGAAAACUCAUAGCCAAAGGAAGGAGAGAAAAGUCAUUUACAGCCCUCAAGCUGCAAUAGUUGUAGGCUGAUAUGACAUCAUUAAUAGAUCUCCAAAUAUCUGAUUUUUAAAGUAAUUCUAACAUGCCUUGUAUACUGUGAGUAUAUUUAAGAAAUUGAUUUGGACAGCUUCAAAAUCAAACUUCAUGAUAAGAUGUAUAAAUCAAGGAUAACAGUUAUUAAUUCUUUGAAAAACCUACAAUUAAAAAAAAACUAAUAAUGUUUUUGGCACAAAUUUAGCUAAUGUGGCAUCAUAAUUCAUUUAGUCAACUGAUACUUAUGAGCUUUUUGCCCUUUUGUAUACUGCACUGCAUGAUAUUUAACUAGGGGUCAAAUCUUGAUUUUGUGCUUUUCAUAAAAUAAGUAGACUAUAUUAAAUAGUUGUUUUUAGUGUAAAUAACACAUUAAGAAAAGAUGAUGUAAUUAUAGAGCUGUGUCAUUUUCAAGCUACUUUUUCAAUUGAAUAUAUUUGUUUCUCUGUGAAUCUAUUACAUUUGAAGCCAUUUAAACAUAUCUAUGCUGUUUUUCUUGUUUAUUUCUUUAUUGCAGUAUCUGAAAAAUGAUAAUAACCAAAUUAAAAUGACUUGUAAUUCCAGGCAUAAAUUAAAUGAAUGUAUAAUUGUGAAAUGAACUUAUCCUUCAGUUUCAGAUUCAUUGAACUGAAGCGGCUUCUACAUUUUUUUAAAUGCAUCUAUUGUUUUAGGAAUCUUACUGUUAACUAACUUUCCAGGCUAAGUUUUAUUACUUAAGAUUUUGUUGCCUUUCCUCUCUGCAGCUGCACUCUGAAUUAAUGUAUUAGUUCAGGCUUAUAAAUCCCAAAUGAAAAGAAUGGAAUUUUUUUUUUUUUAUCAUUUGCUUUAUGCCAGUUCUCAACCAGAGGCAGUUUCACUCAGGGGAUGUUUAAUAAUGUCUGGAGACAUCGUUAAUUGUUAUUAAAGUUGAGGAAGGAAGAGUUGGUACUGACAUGAUUGUAAGGUGCUAAACCUCCUACAAUGCACAUAAGAAUUUUCUGCAUCAAAAAAUGAUUUGAUAGAAAUAUCAAUAGUUUCCCUGUUGAGAAAUCUUUUAUAUAUAAUAUUCUUGAGUUUUCAUUCUAAAAUUUAGAAAAUGAUGUGUUAAAUUUAAUCAUUUUGUCAUGAUUAGCAUGAUGAGGAAUGACAUGAGCCUCAAAAAUCAAAGGACUUGCCUGGGAGUAGAAAAUGAAAAGAUGACAAUAACACAUGUGAAAUAGAAGUUUCAAUAUGUUGAAAUUAAAACUUUCAGGUGUUCUUUAGAGCAGACUAUUGGUUGUCUCAACAUAACUGAAAGCUAAGUGCACUUAAUUCCAAUAGUUUGAAUCCCAUGGUAUGUGGAAAGAUGAGAAGGAACAGUGUUCACUACACAGGCAUAUAUGUUAAACAAGAUCUUAAUAUUUGUUAAAAAGAAAGAGGGGAGAAUUUUAUUAAGGCAAGGAGGGAAUGUGAACAUGAUGAAAGGGGUUGAGCAUACAGAUUAAAGCUAUUUGAAAUGAAAGUAGGUUUGGGGAGAGAUAGUGAGUAUUGUUGAGAGAGAGGUCGUCAUCUGUAGAAGGAUAAUCAGAAGAACAUAUAGCUUAUUUGAGGAUGGUCUUCCUGUGCUGCUCAAGGUGAGGACUCAAAGACUAAAGAAGAAUCAGCUGAUUUUUUCUAAUUGAUGAUUUCAGCUCAGAGUGGUGAAUGACAGCAUUUGAAGGACAUUUUGGCAAGUGGCUCAGCAUGAAAGAGAUAAUGGGCAUAGUUACAUUGAUCAUGACUGGAAACAUGAAAGAUUCAAUGCAAAAGCAGCUUCCAUAACAUAUUUCUUGCGCAGGUUGGCUUCAUGAUUUUUAUACCCUGAGGCAUUCAGAGUAGCUUAAGGUUGCUGGGAAGUUUACAUAUUUUAGCUAUUGUUAAAAAAUGUUGACAACUUUAUGUGCUGGAAAAUGUUUAUUGGGUAAAAUUCUCCCUGAGUAGUUGAAGAGAAUUUUAGAUACUUAUCUCUUCUGGGCAUCAUUCAAGCUUUUGAUAAUGGGGAAUGGGGGUACGGUGAAAAGUCCAAUUUUAGGAAUUAAAUCAGAGACUAAAGAAGACAAAGAAACCGAGUGGGUUUAUGCUUAGGAAAGUCAGAUUUGCUAGCCCCACUCUCAGACAGGAAGAAGAGACCUUAAAUUUAGGAAAAGCACAGGAUUUGUGAUCAUACAUAUAGUACUCCAUUCUGAACCAGAUUAUCCAUUGAGGUAGGCCAGCCUUGGCACUUCCUCAUACUGGUGGAAUGUAACACUGAAAUUAGCCUUCAGGUGGUACUCCAGGGGCAGACUGAACCUUGAGAGUGCAUGAAAUGGGAUAGGGUGGUUGGAGAGGUACUGAUGACUUUUGAAUACCAAUUAAGUGCUAGACACUGUCCUGGGCACUUUUUUCAUGUUAUUGGAUUAAUGAGAUACUUUUUUUAAAGGGACAUUUUAAUGAUGAUAAAACUGAGAAGUAGUAAAUGGCAUUAUUUACAUGUCUAGCUUUUGGAAAAACUAAGAAACUCAUCUCUGAGAAAAUAACGCAAAGUCUGACAAUGUGUACAGUGUUUGAAGGUCAGCUUUAAAAUACUUCUGAUAAGUCUGUUUGCCUUUUUUUUCCUUGUCAGGACUUCUACUCAUAUGGAUUACUUCUUAGACUACUAAUUAUCCAGAUACUUGGUUCCUCUUUUUCUCUUUGUAAUUUAUUAUUGAUAUUUCUCUAGGGCUCACUUGGUUUAUGCUCUUUUAUUUCUCUCAUAGGCAUCUCCAAGUUGUCAGGUGAUGUCUGGUUUGUGCUAUCUCCUUUAGAAAAUAAAUAUUAGAUCAACAUUCUUCAAGCUUUCACGUGUUCUUCAGGACAAAAAUCUUUAUUGUUUCGACACAAUUGAAAGUGAAGCACACUUAAUUUUUCUGUUUAUUUAUUCCAAAGUGACUUAAUCAUAUAAUAAAAGUGUUUCUGCAGUCAUUGAAUAGUCAUUUGACAAACAGGAACAGAAAAAAGACAGAAAGCAUACAUAUUACAGAGUAAGACAUAUUAGAGCCAUCAAGUAUUUAAAGAUGUGGUGUAAAAUAUUGCAGUUUCACAGUAAACAUAAUAUUUGUAUAUAGGUAGCUCCUAUUUAAGACAGCUCAAGCUAAGGGAUAAAUGAAUGAUCUUAUUCCAUUUAAGUAUAUUCUUUUGGUAAAACUCUAAAUAUGUGAUAUGUGUUUUAUGUAAAAAAAUAUAACUAUUUAUUCAUACCAGAAAGAAACAUGCAAUAAUUUUAAUAAUGUAAACACAAAAUCUACAAGAGGAGCUAACUAUCUGGAGGAGUUUUAAAGAACGUUUAUUAUUUGUGCACCAUAUUUUGAAAACUUUUAACAUAAUUGUUGUUGCAGUAAUACAAUUGUAUUACAAAGUUUACUGAUUCACUUACUCUUGGGAAAAACUAAUCUAGGCACAAAGUUCUAAAUAGAAUGGAUUAACUUUAUGUAUUAGUCUCCUCAGGGUGCUAUGACAAAAGUAACAUAGACUUCGUAGUUAAUAAGCAUUGUAAAUUUGUUUCUCAAAGUUCUGGAUGCUAUAAAUCUGAAAUCAAGAUGCUGGCAGAUUCGAAGUCUGCUGAGGGGCAGCUUCAUAGAUAGUCAUUUUUCAUCAUAAUCUCACAUGGCAGGGGAGGGAUAUCUCCAGAGUCUCUUUAAUAAGGGCACUCGUCCCAUUUAUGAGGGCUCUGCCAUCCACAUCCCAGAUGCCUCACCUCCUAGUACCAUGACUUUGAGAUCUGGAUUUGAACCUAAGAAUGUUGAGGAAACACAAAUACCCAGUUUAUGGCUCUUUAUGAUAUUGUUUUUAUCCAGUAAGGACAAGGUAUAUAAUAUCUGAGGCAGGCUGGGUUUUAGGGACUCUGCAGGUAGAGCUGGGGACUGUGGUGAAGUCAAAGCAGAUGUCUGGCCAAUGGUGGCAGUUACUCAAUUCCUAAUGACUUUUGCCAUUUUGAAUAGGGAAGCAAUGUGACAGAUCUCUGCUUUUUCAAGCAAGAUCAUAGCUUGAUUUUUUUAAAUGUGAAAUCUUCUUAUUUUUAAAAGUUGGUUCUAAUGAAAACUAUGUAUGUAUUUCCCAUUUUCCUUUCUCCUUUAUGUGAAAAAUAAGUAUAAUAUUUCUAAAAUGUAAAAUUUUAUAUCAUCUUUCUUCUUGGCAGAGAUUAUAUGUUGUUUUGCAACUUAUGAUGUCUACUUUCUUAAUUUAAAUUUAUACUUUCCUGAAAACAUAAGCAGUAUACGUUUGUAGUGAAAAAAUACUUAAAUGUUUCUGGGCCAAAAAAUAUAAUGUGUGAAUACUGAAUAUGGUAUGAAACCUUAGUAAUUAGUUCACUUUCAAACUGCUAUAAACAACUACCCGAGACUGGGUAAUUUACAAAGAAAAGAUGAUUGAUUGACUCAUAGUUCUGCAUGGCUGGGGAGGCCUCUAAAAACUUCCAGUCAUGGCAGAAGGCAAAGAGAAGGGAGUCACGUCUUACAAGGCUGGCUCAUGAGGAAAAGAGUGAAAGUGGAGGUGCUACACACUUUUAAAUAAACAGAGGUUCUCCAUAGGGGCUCAGACUUCUGCCUGAACAUCCAGGCAUUUUCACAAAUCCUCUGAAAUCUAGGUGGAGUUUCUCAAAACUCAACUCUCGUCUUCUGCAUACUUGCCGGCCCAACACCACUUAGAAGCUUCCAAGGCUUGGGGCUUACACCCUCUGAAGCAAUGGCUCAAGCUGUACCUUGGCCCCUUUUAUCCAUAGCUGGAGCAGCAGCCGCUGGAAUGCAGAGUGCCAUGUCCCUAGGCUGCACAGAUCAGUGGGCCCUGAGCCCAGCCCAUUAAACCAUUGUUCCCUCCUAAGCCUCUAGGACUGUGAUGGGGGUUGGGGGAUGGCUGUGAAAAUGUCUAAAGUGCCCUGCAGACAUUUUCCCUAUUGUCUUGGCUACUAACAUUUUGCCUCUUUACUUGUGCAAAUUUCUGCAUCCAGCAGCUUGAAUUUCUCCCCAGAAAAUGGGUUUUUCUUUUCUACCACAUGGUAAUGCUGUAAAUUUUCCAAACGUUUAUGCUCUACUUCCUUUUUAACAUAAGUUUCAAUUUCAUACCAUCUCUUUGCAAACACGUAUGACUGUAUGCUUUCAGGAAAAGUCAGGUCACAUUGUGAAUGCUUGCUGCUUAGAAAUUUCUUCUGCCGGAUACCCUAAAUCAUUUAUCUGAAGUUCAUAGUUCCACAGAUCUCUAGGUCAGGGGCAAAGUGCUGCCAGUCAUUUUGCUAAAGCAUAGCAAGUCUCACCUUUAUUCCAGUUCCCAACAAAUUCCUCAUCUCUAUCUGAGACCACCUCAGCCUGGACUUCAUUGACCAUAUUACUGUCAGCAUAUUGGUCAAAAUCACACAACAAAAUUCUAAGAAGUUCUAAACUUUUCCACAUCUUUCUGUCUUCUUCUAAGCCCUCCAAACUAUUCCAAUCUCUUCCCAUUACCCAGUGCCAAAGUCACUUCCACAUUUUCAGGUAUUCUUACAGCAGUGUCCCACUUCUCUCAGUACCAGUUUUUCAUAUAAGUCUAUUUUUAUACUUCUAUAAAGAAUACCUGAAACUGGGUAAUUUAUAAUGAAAAGUGGUUUAAUUGACUCACAUUUCUACAUGGUUAUGGAGGCCCCAGGAAACUUAAAAUCAUGAUGGAAAGCAUAGGGAAAGCAAGUCAUAGGACAGAAAAAGAACAAGGGGGAACUGCCACACUUUUAAACCAUCAGAUCACAUGAAAACUUACUAUCACAAGAACAGCAUGGGGGAAACUGCCCUCAUGAUCCUAUUACCUCCCACUAGGCCCCUCUCCUGACACAUGAGAAUUACAAUUCAAGAUGAGAUUUGGGUGGGGACAUAGAGCCAAAUCAUAACAACCUCCAUGAUAGAAAAAAGUUGGAAUUCACAUAAAAUUUUAUCAAUAAUGAUACACUAGAAUUUCAUUAAUUUCUCAAAGUAGUUCACUUUAUUGAAUCAACUACACUGUUGAUUAAAAGUAUGCCAAAAAGAAUUUUGAAAAUUCAAAAUGCAUCUACCUGCUUCUUUUAAAAAUUACUCUUGCAAAACAAUGAACAAGAAACACAAUAACAAAUGACAUAUUUGUUAUAAUUUGUCAAGAUCUUUAAUCCUCCCAAGUUUAAAAUGAAAAUGAGACAGAAACAGUAAAUGAUACUACAAAAGAUGGUCAAAACUAAAUACUUACAGAGAGGGAUCAAACUAGUAGCCAAUUUAUUUCAAAAUCAUAGAAAAUGGAAUAGUAAGAAUAACAAAGCCUGGAAGAAAAAGCUGGGGAGAAGAACUGGUAACAAGUAGAUUAUUUGAAAUUUUUGUUAGAAGUUAGCCCUUUAUGAUGGUACCUUUACCAUAUCUGUUUAGAUUGCUUGUAUUUUUUCCUUCCCUAGGAGAGAUUAUAUAUUUUAUCUAGAGAAAUUUCAUUUGGAUUACCAUAAAAUCAGUUUCUCUCGACGGAGAGGAGGAUAGACAUAAAAGUCUAAGUAAAAUAUGAAGUUAUAUCAAUGUCUAUAUCCUAAACCUUAAGACUGAUAGCUUCCUUUCCACACCUAUGUCACAUUUGCUGUAGCCCAGUAGUACUCCAGACUGAAAAUUAAAAGGUCAUUCUCUGAGGAAGUUUAAUGUCCCAGAGAAAGCGCCUCUACAUUCUGAUGUUUGGAAAUUUUUAAAACAUUGGUUGGACAAUAACUCAUCAGUCUGUUGCCCAUUGACAGCAUAUUCCAUACUUUUAGAACUUGUACUCCGCUUUAAUUCCUAAUUUGUAUAUAUAAGUUGGAAAUAAAUGGUCACCAGACAUAUGAGAAAAAAGGGGUCCUAUUUCUUCUACUAAAUCACAUUAGAGUAGAAUGCAGAGCAUCCUGCUUCCAAUGGAGGGCAGAUAAAUUUUUAUUGUACCAAUCUCUCAUUGACUUAACUAUGCACUUUGGACAAAAUAUUUUUAAAACUAUCCAAGGAUAUUAGAGUGUAGACAAAAGCAAGAAGAUACUACAGAAGACUUGGAAGAAAGAAUGACACAAAGUAAGUUUCUCAUUUUUAAAUAUCUUUGUGCUAAUUUCAGGCUGAAGUCUGCAAUACAGGGUAAUUACUUAAGUCUAUGUUUUAGCAAGUUUUUUUUUUUUUUUGUCUAUUUAAAGAUUUUUAUUUUUAAGGAAAGAUUGAGUUGGAUGCCCUUCAGUAGAGCCAAGAAGUCCUCUUGGAUAAGAAUUUGGAAGAAAAAAUAUAUAAUGCCCUGUAAAGAAAUUGUUAUGUUUGUAUAGGUAUAUAAAUGAUAGAGAAAAGAAGUUAAUUUUAUGAAAAACUAACUUUAUUAUUUAAUUAAAUCAGGUAAACUACUAUAUAUUUAUGUGUGUCAUACUAUUCUCUAAAUACUUUACAAAUAUUAACUCAUCUAAUUAACCCUCUGAGUUGGACAGUCUUAAAUAUGCAUCUUACACAUGAACAUAUGAAAGUACUGAGAGGUUUAGUAACAUCCUCAAGGUCUCCAAACUAGCAAGUGGCAGAGCCCUCAUGGGUUCCAUUAUGAAUAGAUGAUCUAGCCAAAUAAUACUCCCUUCUCAAUUUCUACCAUAAUGUUAAUAUAUUGUGCAUCAUGGGGCCAUGGCAAUGUCUCAGUGCAAAGAUUAUGAGUAGAUUCUCCUUUACUCAAAAUUUUGAUUUGUGUAGAUAAGGCUCGUUUACUUUUUGGCUUCAAAACAACUCAAAUUGGAGACAUACGACAUUGUUAAAGAAAAAUGACCCAAUAAUACUUGCCAAACUAUGGUUAGGGAGACUUCAUUCAGGACCAAGACGAUAGGUAUAGGGGCCACUGCAAUAGGGUCUUGUGGUUGAGGAGAGUGAGUUCACUUCUGAAUAUAGUGUGGGCAAGUGAGAAUUUAUAGACAGGUGCAGACUCAGGGGUUGGUGGACAGAAAAUUACUAAGAGGAAACUUCAAGGAUAAAGGGGAUUCUGGUUAAACUGACCUAAACAGGAUUUUUGCUGAAGACAGGCUAGAGUGAUCUGGCAUUACUUGGCGGAUGGAAGAUGAUGAAGAACCUAAUUAAACGUUGAGGAUGAUCAGAUAUCAAGGAUAGGGCUCUGGAGUUCUUACUAAACUAACUUAACAAGAUUCUUUGUUAAAACUGUUUUGCGAGGAAGUAUAUAGAUGGGCUUAGGAGAAAUUUCAGAAACAUGACUAAAGUAUGGCCAAGCAAAGAAUCUUUGUUUGCAUUUAAUUAAAAUGCCAUUUUCCAUGAUAGGUCUUAUCACAAAUAUACUCUGCAUUCCUUUUAUUUAUAAUCAUUUUACACUCAACUUGGAUCAGUGACUGGCCUUAGCAGGAGCAAAGGGUUGGGUUCCUGGCAGAGGGCCACAUGACCUCUGCUUCCCUGUGCAGACCCAGCAGGCGCUUUGCUAGUACAUCUGCAAACAGAGCCCUCUUCUUCCUCUUUCAUCUUAGAGCUUGCCAGCCUUUCACAGCUUUCCUUUUCUCAGGCCUUAAAAAUAUCCCAGAUUUCUUUAAUUGCUAGUCCCUUUCUGAGAGUCUCUUCCCCACCUCUUCCUGCCUUUUGUCUUUCCUUUUCUGCUUUUUUCUUUUCAUCUCUUUCCUCAAUACCCUUCACAUGGAAACUCAAAGUUACUCCACCACUUGGCCCAUUGCCAACUUAGCAGUUCUCAGCAGUGUACUGUAGGUUUCUGGACUGUUUGGUUAAACUGCUUUAUUUACAUAUAUAUAUAUUUCACCCCCGACCCCACCUCCCCUCUUGGGAGAGCCCUUUCUGGUGAGAAAAGUCAAGUUUAUUUUUGUGAAGGGUUAAUGUUUCACAACCUUCUUGGUAAUACAAGAUUUGUGUCAAACACUUUAACUCAUACAAAUUCUGUUUCCUUAGCAGGGAGAAAAUGAAUAAACUAACAAAGGUAUCCUAUCCCUCAUAAUAAACACAACAUAAAAAUCAUGUAGUAAAUCACAACAAAAUUAUACAGAGGAGAAAGAGAAAGAAAGAAACUUCAGACUAAUUUGGCAUUAAAAUUAUAGAUUAACCUUAAGGAAAAUUAACCUAAAUUUCUGAAUGCCUAUAAUCUAAUAAGAAAAGGGUCUACCACCUUUUAAAUUUUUCCAUAUAGUCUCACCUUUUAUAUAUUUUUAACACUAAAUUACGUCUGGAUGAAAAUACACAUGCAUUCUAUUUAUAUAAAUUAUUUUUCUCUUUAAUUAAUUCUUGCAAUCUACAAUGAUAGGCAAGUCAGGUAUAAUUUUUCUCUUUGUUAUUGCACUUAAACUCGUGCAAAAAUAGUACAAUGUUUUCUUUUUCUUUUUUUUAACUUUACUGAAGUUGGUGGCUUACAUCAUACUAAGGGGCCCACAUGAAUAUUUGUUUUUAAAUUAGGACCAUAUUCUCAAUUCGCUACACAAUAAAGGGAUUAUACAUUUAAAAGAACUGUAUGCAAUCAAGAAGAAAUUUUAAUUAAUCACAAAUAGAACUGGCCCAAUGGAAAUAAUUUGACCCGACAGUUUGAGGUUUGAUCAGCACAACACAGAGAUUAAGAAGACUUUUGACCUGAACAGAGUCGGAGUUGGUUCAGUCUGGAACUUUAGAAAGGGAACACUAAUGGGUUCAAAUCACACAAUAUCAUUGUUUCCCAUAAUGCUACCAUCCCAUUAGCAACCAGUGAGAAACUUGCUUAGUUUUCUGUAGAAACCAUCCAGUAGAAUAUAUAGCUCUGGUCCACAAUGAAGCAACAGAGAUUAUGCCACAACAAACUAUAUUCUUUCUCUCAUGUUUUCCAUGUGCAGAAACUGAGCCAGCUCCUUUGAAGCACUAAUUGACUGUCGGUAUCAAUUAGGGGCCUGACUGCUUUCUAACUUACAUUUAUAUCUCCACAGUAACCACAUUGGUAUCUGGGGGAGAAUGGGGGUGCUUACUGAAAAGUUCUUAAAUAUGUACAACAUAAAAGAAUAACUGAGGUUUUAGAAAAGCUAGUUAGAACAGGGCCCAGCAACUCUUAUUUUUUAACAGCAUCUUUGUGUUGAAAGCUGAAAGUUUUACUAAAAUUGAAUUCUUUAUUAGAGUAGCAAUAUCAAUAUAUAAAUUAAUAGAUUAUACAGCAAAAAUAUCAGCCCAGGAGAAAGAAAAACUUAACAAAUAGGAGCACUGAGAGUGAAGAACUUCAGUGAUGACUUCUGUCAUAAGAACAGUGAAUAAAGAAAUAUGACACAGAGUAAAAGGCAAAGUAUGUGGUGGGAAGAAUUUGACUUUAAUGCUAGAGAAACCUGAGUUUACUUCCUGCUUGCCACUUGCUAGCUGGUAUAACUUUUAGAAACUGAGUCUUAGUUUUCUUAUAUGUUAAACUGGGGUAUUGAUGUCACCUUUGCAGGUCUGUUGGUGAAAUUAAGUAAACUAAAGCAUAUAGAAAACAAUGAAUCGUUUCUGGUACAUAAGAGAUGGUCCGUAAAUAUUAGGUAUUAUUAUCAUCAUCAUGAUUUCAGGACCUGGAAAAGAGAAAAUACAAGUAUAAUAUAAAUAAUACCUAACAUUGAAAAUAAACAAAAAAUCCCAUCACUCUGAAAAAAAAAAAUUGGUAGGCUUAUUCUAGUCUUAAAUGGACCUAGAGUUUUUAUAAGCCAAGAUAUUUUAUAAUUAUAGUAUUUCUUAUGAAUAAAAAAUCUAUGGAUUGGUGGACUUCCUGAAGUAUUACAGGAUAAAUAUUAAUAAUUAGAAGGGUCACAGAUAUGUUGCAAUGACAGAAAACCUUACACUUACUAAUCUAUAAGACAUGAAAUUAGUAUAGAAUUACAAUAAAUAGGGAUUAAAAUAUCUUGGAUAUUUACUAUUAUAGUAUGAUAUUCUGAGAUUGUACAUGAUAUACAUCAAAGAAUAGUAGAAGAUAAACAUCAUUCAGCCAUGAAAAUGAUAAACAAGGGGCCGGGCAUGGUGGUUUAAGCCUGUAAUCCCAGCACUUUGGGAGGCCGAGGUGGGUGGAUCACGAGGUCAAGAAAUCGAGACCAUCCUGGUCAACAAGGUGAAACCCCAUCUCUACUAAAAAUAUUUUUUAAAAAAAUUAGCUGGGCAUGGUGGCACGUGCCUGUAAUCCCAGCUACUCAGGAGGCUGAGGCAGGAGAAUUGCCUGAACCCAGGAGGCAGAGGUUGCAGUGAGCUGAGAUCGCGCCAUUGCACUCCAGCCUGGGUAACAAGAACGAAACUCCGUCUCAAAAAAAAAAAAAAAAAAAGAUAAACAAA